UUCCAGCCCAGCGCCGCCGAGGCGUUGCCCCAGGCCGGGCAGGGCGGCCCGGGCGGGCGGCAGGCGGAGGCGUUGGCGGCGAACGGGACCUCCAGGGCGCCGGCCAGCAGCGGCGCGGACCCGUUGCCCAGCAGGAACUCAAGACUUCUGUGACUUCAUGAUCUUUAAUGGAAAAAAACCCUAAUAAUUUACACUGGAAGGAUGCAGAGGAGCAGCAGACUCGGAUGGAGUAUGUACUGUACAAUGUCAUAAAAGUCAAAUUAGCUCAAACAACGAGCUACACUCUGUUGUUUUCUGUUAUAUAUUUAUUCUCUUAUCUAUUCAGAGGUUUUGCUGACCUCUGGAUCUGUGGUGGGCUGUGAGAAAUAGCACAGUGGACAUCACUUUUGUAUUCUCUCUGUCAAUGAAUACUGUUUCAUUUAUCAGGUUCAUCAUGUCAUUAGAUAAUUCUGGUCAACAGUUGUUAGCAAUUUCUGAGAUGUCUUCUUUUGAAGACUUUGCAGAAAUUCUUAAAUACAGUGAAUGUGUGCACAGACUUUUCUGUAGGAUUGAGUUUAGAUAGAAAAAAAAAUCACUUAAAUAGCAAUUUGACUGUGUGUAUGCACUUUUGAAAAUUGAAUGAAUGUGUGCUUCAGUGGUACAGGAACAUGCACCAGAAAAUGCAUUUUUGAACUCUGAGUUUAUUUGAUUUGGCCUAAAAUCAACCUGAUUAGAAGUGGUAAGAAUUUACUUAAAAUGGGCUUAAACUGCUUUUACUAGGAAAAAAAAAAGCUUUUUUUUUCUUAUUGUAGCAAUUUUGAUACCAGUUUUGCUUGUGAUAACCUCACCAAUGUUGGGAUAACACAAAACCCAGCUGACUUGCAUCCAUCCAGAUCAAUACACUACAGGUAAACUGUGGUUACACCACCUCCUGAUGAAAAAUUGAAUGGAAACAUGCUAAUUUAUUCCUAGAUUCAUACAUCAGUCUUCUGGCUGAGUAAAACAAUGACAAUUUAAUGGCACACCAAGAUAAAAAAUACCCUUUAUAGCCUCAAUCUUCCAACAGACAAGGUAUAUUUUCCCCCAGAGAAGAAAGUGCUUCUGCAGUGACACCAUGUUUCUGUUAACUUUCCCUCAAAGAUUUAAAGCCUUGCAGCUUUUUGUUCUGUUUUGUUGGGUUUUUUUUGUUUUUUUUUUUUUUUUUUUCAGAGUAUUUUUCAGGCUGUUGGUAUUCUGCAAUUUAUGUGAUCAAUCCUAUUUAACUAGCACACCUUGAAUGUCAAAUUAUGACUAUCUGUCCUAAAAAAUGUUUAUGAAAUACCUUGCUGCAGAAGGGGAAAGCCAUUUAUGAAAUGCUGUUGACUGCAGACAUCCUGGAUUCAGCUUUUCAGCCAGGUGUUAAAUUCACAGAAGAGCCCUGCAACACUACAAGAAACAAAAAUAACCCAGACAAAAAUGUUGUAUGCACAAGUAGUGCCUAAGAACAGAUGAGAAGUGCUGUUAAAUUAAUAUAUAGCUUUCUACGAGCUAAUAAUUUGGUUUUACUAAAAAAAAAAAAAAUCGUAGACAGUCCAUAAAACUCAGCACUGGGAAGGAAAUAGGACAAAUUUAGUUACCAGCUAAGUAUAUGUUCAAUUCCUGUCAAACAAACCAAUUCAGCCUGUUUUAAUUUAACUUUACUACUGAGAUAGUAAAGUUAAAUUGUAAACUGUUUUUGGCUUAUUGCAGAGUUGUUUGAAAAUAGAUUCAAGAUAUUUCAUAUUUAUUGCAGCAAAUGUCACAGUGAAGCAAUUAUUGAAGCUAGAAUUAACAAUAUAUUUCAGAAUUAUUUACAUUAACAGAUGUUCAUGCAUAUGCUGUUUAUUUUCACAAAGAAAAAUACCAGUACAGAGGUUCUAGUACUUUUAUGAUAUUGAUUUUCAAGGUAGUGAAGAGGUUAUAUGUACACACAGACAAGUGUACAGAUGGUAAAUGAGACCAUCAGUCCAUGCUUCAUUUGUUCACUGGUGAAAUCAGUGGGAUUCCCUUCUGAGACUGGCUGCUUCCCUGUGUCUUUAAACGGAGCCUAAGCUGGGUGACUGAGAUGUAGGCAUGUCCCUGUAGGCACCAGAAUGCCAUCCCUGGCAUCUAUUCAGUGUAUGCCAUUAGAGCCUCUUCCCCUUGAAGCCUUUUAUCUCUGAAAGUUAAAGAUAUCUGACUUCUGUAAUUGUUUUCCCAAUAAAAUCAACUCUUUGUUCUGCACCCCAGAGGAUACUACAAUUUUGUCUCCAGGAUGUUUUUCAUUCUCCCUGCUGAAACAAACAUUUUUUUCUGCUCUUCAAUUUUGUUGCUGUUUUUAUUGUUGUUAUUGUUUAGAGAUGUAUAUAUUAUAUAUGCUCAGCAAACUAUUUGAUCACAGGGCUAUAUCAACAGUUAUGGGUUUCAUAUUAGCAGAUAAUGUUUUACUAGCCUUUUCUGGAUAAAAUUGUAAGGGGGUUUUUACAUCUAACAACAGUCUUUUGUUGAGGCAAGGAUUUCUAAUGAAAAA